GUUCCUGUAGUUAAAUUUGGUAACAACGGCUUUUCAGGCCGUGGAUCUCGGAGAAAGGCCGAGCGGGAAUU
rnacentral:tRNA from 1 species